AUAUCAUCUUUUCGCUUGUUUAUUAUUGUUUUGCUUUGGUGAUAUUUUUCCAUGGAAUUUUUAUGCACUAGUGGCAUAACAAGACUAAAUGAUCGGGCAUGCCAAGAUGCUGCUGUUCUUCGACUUGGAUUUCUUAAGCUUGAUGCUCGUGCAAGGGAGGACACAAGGAAGAUUGACCUUGGUGUUAAGGAAAAGGCUGCUCGGUUGAAGCAUUUAGCCACUGACAGGGCUCAAUCUGAUCUGAAGAGAGUAGCAGAUCAGCAUUGGAGUGAUAGG